rnacentral:rRNA from 1 species
GAACGAGAAAGUGGAGCAAUCCAUGAGUAAAGUGGCGCACGGGUGAGUAACACGUGAAUGAUCUACCUCCGAGUGGGGAAUAACCUAGAGAAAUCUGGGCUAAUACCGCAUAACACUUACGAGUCAAAGCAGCAAUGCGCUUGGAGAGGAGUUCGCGGCCGAUUAGUUAGUUGGCGGGGUAAUGGCCCACCAAGACGAUGAUCGGUAUCCGGCCUGAGAGGGCGCACGGACACACUGGAACUGAAACACGGUCCAGACUCCUACGGGAGGCAGCAGUGGGGAAUUUUGCGCAAUGGGGGAAACCCUGACGCAGCAACGCCGCGUGGAGGAUGAAAUCCCUUGGGAUGUAAACUCCUUUCGAUCGGGACGAUUAUGACGGUACCGGAAGAAGAAGCCCCGGCUAACUUCGUGCCAGCAGCCGCGGUAAU